GUUUUUGGAUAAUUGCGCGAUUUCUUGCUUGUCUUGUGAAUCGUGAGGAAAGUCCAUGCUCGCGCGAGCUGAGAUGCUCGCAGUGUUUGUGCUAGGCGAAACCAUAAGCCUAGGUAGGUGUGUCAGACCUAACGGCUGAAUUUUAGCUAAGUUUUCCUUGUGAAGAUAAGCGACAAAUUCUGUAAAAGUGCCAUAGAGACGAGUUGCUUUGGAAACUUAGCAAGUGGAACGUGGUAAACCCCUCAAGCGAGCAACCCAAACUUAUGGUAGGGGCACUUGCCAAGCGGAAGUGAACGUACGGCGAGGCUGGGUUUAGCAUGACUAAACUUGGCAGACAGAUGAUUAUCGAAGGUUGGUGCAACGCCAACUGGAACAAAACAUGGCUUAUAGAA
rnacentral:RNase_P_RNA from 1 species